AUUACAGGCACAGUCGGCCAAUAUUUUUAUAUACCAGAUUAUGUCACUAGUAAAUAGAGAUAAUUUCACUGUCUCCUUUUCAAUCUGGAGGCAUUUUCUUCCUUCCUUUUUCCCUUCCCUUCUCUCCCCUCCCCUCCCCUUCCCUCCUGUUUUUCUUUCUACUUACUUUCUUACUUUUGCCUCUUUGUCUUGGUUAGAAUUUCCAGUAUGAUGUUAAAUAACAAUGGAAAGAGCAGUUAUCCUUGUCUUGUUCCUCAUUUUAGAGGCUUAACCCUGGAGUUUUUGUCUAUGCCCCUUGUGAAGUUUAAAAAGUUUUUCCCAAUCAUAGUUUGUUGAUGGUUCUUAUAAUGACAGAGCAUUUGAUUUGAUUAAGUGGUUUUUUCUGCUUUUAUUGCAAUGAUGUUGUGAUUUUUGCUUUUUAACUAUUGAUAUGGUGGGUUACAUUGAUUGAUUUCAGAUAUUAAGCCAACUUUGCAUUUCUGGGAAUAAUCCCACUGGUUGAUGAUGGAUAAUCUUUUUUAUAUGUUACUAGACUCAUUUUUCCAGUAUUUUGGCGAGGAUUUUUGCAUCUAUGUUGGUCUAUAGUUUUCUUUUACUGUGUACCUUUGCUUCUGAUAUUGAGGCAAUAAUGGUCUCAAAGGAUUAGUUGAGAAUUGUUUUCUUCUUUAAUUUUUGGGAGAGUUUGUAAAAAAUGUGUAUUAAUACUUCUUUAUAUGUUUGGGCUUUUAUUUCAUUUUUAAGAUUUAGCAUGCAAAUUAUGAAAGUUCAAAUUUAAAUCCCUUGUGCUUUCUUAAUCUUUUAAACUUAGAUUAUAAAUCUUAUUAUAUUUUCAAGUAUUGCAGUCAGCUUGUACAUAAUAUGAACAAUGUUUUGUCCUAUUUAAACAGUUUAAUUACUUUCACAUUUCAAAACAUAAUUAUACAUUCUAUAUGUUUGAUUUUCUCCA
rnacentral:lncRNA from 10 species